rnacentral:rRNA from 1 species
GUGCCAGCCGCGGCGGUAAUACGGAGGGUGCAAGCGUUAAUCGGAAUUACUGGGCGUAAAGCGCACGCAGGCGGUCUGUCAAGUCGGAUGUGAAAUCCCCGGGCUCAACCUGGGAACUGCAUUCGAAACUGGCAGGCUGGAGUCUUGUAGAGGGGGGUAGAAUUCCAGGUGUAGCGGUGAAAUGCGUAGAGAUCUGGAGGAAUACCGGUGGCGAAGGCGGCCCCCUGGACAAAGACUGACGCUCAGGUGCGAAAGCGUGGGGAGCAAACAGGAUUAGAUACCCUGGUAGUCCACGCCGUAAACGAUGUCGAUUUGGAGGUUGUGCCCUUGAGGCGUGGCUUCCGGAGCUAACGCGUUAAAUCGACCGCCUGGGGAGUACGGCCGCAAGGUUAAAACUCAAAAUGAAUUGACGGGGCCCGCACAAGCGGUGGAGCAUGUGGUUUAAUUCGAUGCAACGCGAAGAACCUUACCUGGUCUUGACAUCCACAGAACUUUCCAGAGAUGGAUUGGUGCCUUCGGGAACUGUGAGACAGGUG